rnacentral:lncRNA from 1 species
CUCUCUACCGUUUCCUCCCCCUACCUGGUACCCCAUCCCUAGCUCAGCCAUUGCUUUUUUUUCCACGACCCUCCGCUGUUUCUUCCGCGAGCUUCCUCCCCCGAUUUCCAUCUCAGGCAGCGGCAGCGGCAGCGACAGCCUGCCUACCCCAGGACUCCAGCCUCACCUGGCUUCUGCCUCAACUCCGCUCCUCUGCCCCCCAGCGCUUCCUGGCUUUAGCGGAGAGACAGCAUGAUAGGCCUGGAGUUCUUCAAGAGGCCUCCUCGCACAUCCUUACCACCCGGAGAGCCUCAGUUUGGAUUUGAAGCCAUCGCACCCCAAAGGAGAUGACAAUCCCCCCCCUUUUUUGAACUUUUUUAUUAAUAUAU